GAUGAACGCUGGCGGCGUGCCUAAUACAUGCAAGUCGAGCGAACAGACGAGGAGCUUGCUCCUCUGACGUUAGCGGCGGACGGGUGAGUAACACGUGGAUAACCUACCUAUAAGACUGGGAUAACUUCGGGAAACCGGAGCUAAUACCGGAUAAUAUAUUGAACCGCAUGGUUCAAUAGUGAAAGACGGUUUUGCUGUCACUUAUAGAUGGAUCCGCGCCGCAUUAGCUAGUUGGUAAGGUAACGGCUUACCAAGGCAACGAUGCGUAGCCGACCUGAGAGGGUGAUCGGCCCCACUGGACCUGAGACACGGUCCAGACUCCUACGGGGGGCGGCAGUAGGGAAUCUUCCGCAAUGGGCGAAAGCCUGACGGAGCAACGCCGCGUGAGUGAUGAAGGUCUUCGGAUCGUAAAACUCUGUUAUUGGGGAAGAACAAAUGUGUAAGUAACUAUGCACGUCUUGACGGUACCUAUUCAGAAAGCCACGGCUAACUACGU
rnacentral:rRNA from 1 species